GAGGAAAAGAAACCAACAGGGAUUGCCUUAGUAACGGCGAGUGAAGCGGCAAAAGCUCAAAUUUGAAAUCUGGCACCUUCGGUGUCCGAGUUGUAAUUUGAAGAAGGUAACUUUGGAGUUGGCUCUUGUCUAUGUUCCUUGGAACAGGACGUCACAGAGGGUGAGAAUCCCGUGCGAUGAGAUGCCCAAUUCUAUGUAAAGUGCUUUCGAAGAGUCGAGUUGUUUGGGAAUGCAGCUCUAAGUGGGUGGUAAAUUCCAUCUAAAGCUAAAUAUUGGCGAGAGACCGAUAGCGAACAAGUACAGUGAUGGAAAGAUGAAAAGAACUUUGAAAAGAGAGUGAAAAAGUACGUGAAAUUGUUGAAAGGGAAGGGCUUGAGAUCAGACUUGGUAUUUUGCGAUCCUUUCCUUCUUGGUUGGGUUCCUCGCAGCUUACUGGGCCAGCAUCGGUUUGGAUGGUAGGAUAAUGACUAAGGAAUGUGGCUCUACUUCGGUGGAGUGUUAUAGCCUUGGUUGAUACUGCCUGUCUAGACCGAGGACUGCGUCUUUUGACUAGGA
rnacentral:rRNA from 1 species